rnacentral:rRNA from 1 species
CCUACGGGUGGCAGCAGUAGGGAAUCUUUCACAAUGGGCGAAAGCCUGAUGGAGCAACGCCGCGUGCAGGAUGAAGGCCUUCUGGUUGUAAACUGCUUUUAUAAGCGAGAAAUAUGAUGGUAACUUAUGAAUAAGGAUCGGCUAACUACGUGCCAGCAGCCGCGGUCAUACGUAGGAUCCGAGCAUUAUCCGGAGUGACUGGGUGUAAAGAGUUGCGUAGGUGGCAUAAUAAGUAGCUAGUGAAAUCUGGUGGCUAAACCAUUCAGACUAUUAGCUAAACUGUUAAGCUAGAGACCGUUAGGGGUAACUGGAAUUUCUAGUGUAGGAGUGAAAUCCGGAGAUAUGAGAAGGAACACCAAUAGCGUAGGCAGGUUACUGGGACGGUUCUGACACUAAGGCACGAAAGCGUAGGGAGCAAACGGGAUUAGAUACCCCAGUAGUC